rnacentral:rRNA from 1 species
CCUACGGGCGGCAGCAGUGAGGAAUAUUGGUCAAUGGGCGGGAGCCUGAACCAGCCAAGUCGCGUGAGGGAAGACGGUCCUAUGGAUUGUAAACCUCUUUAGGCGGGGAGCAAUGCCGGGCACGCGUGCCCGGAGGGAGAGUACCCGCGGAAUAAGCAUCGGCUAACUCCGGGCCAGCAGCCGCGGUAAUACGGAGGAUCCGAGCGUUAUCCGGAUUUAUUGGGUUUAAAGGGAGCGUAGGUGGAUUGUUAAGUCAGUUGGGAAAGUUUGCGGCUCAACCGUAAAAUUGCAGUUGAAACUGGCAGUCUUGAGUACAGUAGAGGUGGGCGGAAUUCGUGGUGUAGCGGUGAAAUGCUUAGAUAUCACGAAGAACUCCGAUUGCGAAGGCAGCUCACUGGACUGCAACUGACACUGAGGCUCGAAAGUGUGGGUAUCAAACAGGAUUAGAUACCCGAGUAGUC